UGGGGAAUAUUGCACAAUGGGCGCAAGCCUGAUGCAGCCAUGCCGCGUGUAUGAAGAAGGCCUUCGGGUUGUAAAGUACUUUCAGCGGGGAGGAAGGGAGUAAAGUUAAUACCUUUGCUCAUUGACGUUACCCGCAGAAGAAGCACCGGCUAACUCCGUGCCAGCAGCCGCGGUAAUACGGUGGGUGCAAGCGUUAAUCGGAAUUACUGGGCGUAAAGCGCACGCAGGCGGUUUGUUAAGUCAGAUGUGAAAUCCCCGGGCUCAACCUGGGAACUGCAUCUGAUACUGGCAAGCUUGAGUCUCGUAGAGGGGGGUGGAAUUCCAGGUGUAGCGGUGAAAUGCGUAGAGAUCUGGAGGAAUACCGGUGGCGAAGGCGGCCCCCUGGACGAAGACUGACGCUCAGGUGCGAAAGCGUGGGGAGCAAACAGG
rnacentral:rRNA from 1 species